GAUGAACGCUGGCGGCGUGCCUAAUACAUGCAAGUCGAGCGAACAGACGAGGAGCUUGCUCCUCUGACGUUAGCGGCGGACGGGUGAGUAACACGUGGAUAACCUACCUAUAAGACUGGGAUAACUUCGGGAAACCGGAGCUAAUACCGGAUAAUAUAUUGAACCGCAUGGUUCAAUAGUGAAAGACGGUUUUGCUGUCACUUAUAGAUGGAUCCGCGCCGCAUUAGCUAGUUGGUAAGGUAACGGCCUACCAAGGCAACGAUGCGUAGCCGACCUGAGAGGGUGAUCGGCCACACUGGAACUGAGACACGGUCCAGACUCCUACGGGAGGCAGCAGUAGGGAAUCUUCCGCAAUGGGCGAAAGCCUGACGGAGCAACGCCGCGUGAGUGAUGAAGGCCUUCGGAUCGUAAAACUCUGUUAUUAGGGAAGAACAAAUGUGUAAGUAACUAUGCACGUCUUGACGGUACCUAAUCAGAAAGCCACGGCUAACUACGUG
rnacentral:rRNA from 1 species